rnacentral:rRNA from 1 species
GAAGAACGCAGCAAAGCGCGAUAGGUAGUGUGAAUUGCAGAAUUCCGCGAAUCAUCGAAUCUUUGAACGCAUAUUGCGCCUGAGCCUCCUGGCUUGGGCAUGUCUGCCUCAGCGUCGGUU